rnacentral:rRNA from 1 species
GACGAACGCUGGCGGCGUGCCUAAUACAUGCAAGUAGAACGCUGAAGGAGGAGCUUGCUCUUCUGGAUGAGUUGCGAACGGGUGAGUAACGCGUAGGUAACCUGCCUGGUAGCGGGGGAUAACUAUUGGAAACGAUAGCUAAUACCGCAUAACAGUAGAUGUUGCAUGACAUUUACUUAAAAGGUGCAAUUGCAUCACUACCAGAUGGACCUGCGUUGUAUUAGCUAGUUGGUGGGGUAACGGCUCACCAAGGCGACGAUACAUAGCCGACCUGAGAGGGUGAUCGGCCACACUGGGACUGAGACACGGCCCAGACUCCUACGGGAGGCAGCAGUAGGGAAUCUUCGGCAAGGGACGGAAGUCUGACCGAGCAACGCCGCGUGAGUGAAGAAGGUUUUCGGAUCGUAAAGCUCUGUUGUAAGAGAAGAACGAGUGUGAGAGUGGAAAGUUCACACUGUGACGGUAUCUGACCAGAAAGGGACGGCUAACUACGUG